AUCCUAUCCUUCUCAUUAUUGAAUAUUCUAGACCCAAGCGAGAGUCAGAGAGCUAAAACCCAUCGCCCUUCUCUCCCUUCGCCCUUCCACCUCCGUCUACUCCCUUAGUUGUCGGUGAUCAUGGUGCAUUCGUUGUUGCCGUCGAAGGUCAGAUUCGCGUGUCACCGACGUGUGCGUGUGGAAUCGGUCUUCCGUCAUCGCAGGUCUCCGUUCAGUGAGGCGGACUUCCUCCUCUGUUUUCGUCAUUUGGUUCUUCUUCUUUCCUGCUCUGUGACGCUGUGUCGAUCAGCUCGGGGGUGGAGAAAAUGAUUAUAGUUUUCCAAUUUGAAAGUGAAGCUUGGGGAGUUUAUUUUAGUUGACCUACUUCGAGUUGACUAUUGAGGGGCUAUCUUUUGACGUGAAGUGAAGAAGUUAUUGACCAGCUUGGAUGUAAAAUUUAAAAUUUUGAAUUUAUGUUUUGUAUAUUUUAUUUAGACGCUCCACAUAAAUUAUAGUUAGGACAUUCAUAUAUAUAUAUAUAUAUAUAUAUUAUACAUGAUUUGUCAAUUAGAAGGAGCAUAGCUCUUUGUUGAUGCUAUUUUAUACUGAGGAAUGUCGUCAUAGAAUUUUCAGGAAGUCUUAUUUUAUGGGGAGAUUCUAUCAAAAAUUGUUUUUACAAAAGCAUUAAGUCUUCUGUUCUUAUUAUUCAUAUUGGACAUGGUUCGAUUUAUUUUCAAAUGUCUUAGUGGUUUAGAAAUUAGAGUUCGUUAUGUUAAGGCUUUCGAGAUAUAGGUUUUGUUUUCAUAUUUCGUACUGGUCAUUCCUUAUUUUCAAGGAGUGACACAUGCUUAGGAAGAUAUUGUCUCAGCAAACCUAAAAGACACCUACUCUAACGAAGUUGCUUGCUUCUCUGCAAUGCUUAUUUUCUGCUGGA